AUGCCUAACACAUGCAAGUCGAACGCCCCGCAAGGGGCGUGGCGCACGGGUGAGUAACGCGUGGGAACCUGCCCUUGAGUGGGGGAUAACCCGGCGAAAGCCGGGCUAAUACCGCAUACGUCCUGUUGUCGUGGAGAUGGCGGGAGAAAGAUUUAUCGCUCAAGGAGGGGCCCGCGUGGGAUUAGCUAGUUGGUGAGGUAACGGCUCACCAAGGCGAUGAUCCCUAGCUGGUCUGAGAGGAUGAUCAGCCACACUGGGACUGAGACACGGCCCAG
rnacentral:rRNA from 1 species